CCUACGGGUGGCAGCAGUGGGGGAUAUUGCACAAUGGGGGGAACCCUGAUGCAGCGACGCCGCGUGGGUGAAGGAGCGCUUCGGCGCGUAAAGCUCUAUCGGCAGGGAAGAAGGAUGACGGUACCUGACUAAGAAGCCCCGGCUAACUACGUGCCAGCAGCCGCGGUACUACGUAGGGGGCACGCGUUAUCCGGAUUUACUGGGUGUAAAGGGGGCGCAGACGGGAGCGCAAGCCAGGAGUGAAAGCGCGGGGCCCAACCCCGGGACUGCACUUGGAACUGGGCGGCCUGAGUGCAGGAGGGGCAGGCGGAAUUCCUGGUGUAGCGGUGAAAUGCGUAGAUAUCACGAAGAACACCGAUGGCGAAGGCGGCCUGCUGGACUGCGACUGACGUUGAGGCCCGAAAGCGUGGGGAGCAAACAGGAUUAGAUACCCCGGUAGUC
rnacentral:rRNA from 1 species